AAUGUCUGCAUCUUUGGGCGUAUAAUACCCGACCAGUAGGAGCACACUGGUUGCUGCUUGCUAUCAACCCUAUAAGGGAAGUCGUGUAUUAUCUGAAUUCGGUAAAUGGUGAAUGGACCAAUUAUCCGGCCAUGAAGGACAUCGUUGAUUUAUCAAUACAAGUGUUCCGAAGUCAACGGGACGCACAGGUAUCCCGAACUAAAUCU